UGAUAAUUCACUGUAAAUAUAUAGAAUAUAGAAGAACCUCUUACAUUGUCUUUCUCCAGUUGCGUACCUCUCAUAUUUCUCUACACGUGCACAAUUAAUAUGGUAUUGACCUGAGUGGAAUCUUGGUCAAGACUUGACGUGGAGGGUUGAUGGAAAGAAUUUACAAGAUGCUGAUAAUAGGACUGGGCUAGAUAGCACACUGUUUGCUUGACUAAAGUAGAACAGUAAUUGAAACAAGCAAUUGUGGUCGGGCAAACCAGGUAAUAAAAUAAGACAUAGGCCUUGACAGCUCUACAUCACAUUAUGUGCAAUUUGGC